AAUGAACGCUGGCGGCAUGCCUAAUACAUGCAAGUCGAGCGGACAGAUGAGGAGCUUGCGCCUCUGCCGUUAGCGGCGGACGGGUGAGUAACGCGUGGAUAACCUUCCUAUAAGACGGGGAUAACUUCGGGAAACCGGAGCUACUACCGGAGCAUAUGUUGAACCGGUUAGUUCAAUAGUGAAAGGCGGUUUUGGUGUCACUUAUAGAUGGAUCCGUGCCGGAUUAGCUAGUUGGUAAGGUAAAGGCUUACCAAGGCAACGAUGCGUAGCCGACCUGAGAGGAUGAUCAGCCACACUGGAACUGAGACACGGUCCAGACUCCUACGGGAGGCAGCAGUGGGGAAUAUUGGACAAUGGGCGAAAGCCUGACGCAGCAAUGCCGCGUGGGUGAUGAAGGCCUUCGGAUUGUAAAGCCCUUUUGUUGGGAAAGAAAAGCUGCAGAUUAAACCACCGCUGUUCUGACGGUACCCAAAGAAAAAGCACCGGCUAACUUCGUG
rnacentral:rRNA from 1 species